GACGAACGCUGGCGGCGUGCUUAACACAUGCAAGUCGAACGGUAAGGCCCUUCGGGGUACACGAGUGGCGAACGGGUGAGUAACACGUGGGUGAUCUGCCCUGCACUUCGGGAUAAGCCUGGGAAACUGGGUCUAAUACCGGAUAGGACUCCUGGCUUCAUGGUUGGGGGUGGAAAGCUUUUGCGGUGUGGGAUGGGCCCGCGGCCUAUCAGCUUGUUGGUGGGGUAAUGGACUACCAAGGCGACGACGGGUAGCCGGCCUGAGAGGGUGACCGGUCACACUGGGACUGAGAUACGGCCCAGACUCCUACGGGAGGCAGCAGUGGGGAAUAUUGCACAAUGGGCGCAGGCCUGAUGCAGCGACGCCGCGUGAGGGAUGACGGCCUUCGGGUUGUAAACCUCUUUCAGCUAUGACGAAGCGCAAGUGACGGUAGUAGCAGAAGAAGGACCGGCCAACUACGUGCCAGCAGCCGCCGUAA
rnacentral:rRNA from 1 species